AGGACGACAAUGUUUAUCGAGCAUAGGUCGUUGUGUGCCAUAUGGGUUGGUUGUCCUCAUAACCAAAGAGUGUGGAGACACUGGUAUGACAUACAGGUGAGAUGUAAUGGUACAUCUGCACUGAACGUGACCAACUCCGGAGCUAUUUCUGCUAUCAAGAUUUACUCCGAUGGGAUAUGGGUAUAAAUGUCCCUCCGACCUGAGAACGCCACGGUGACUUGCAAGCAACUCACUGCACUUAGGCACUGGACUACCUGAAUUUUUAAUUCAGUAACAGAAGGCUGCUAGGUGUAGUCAAGUACUUGACUUGUCGGUGCGUGUGUCAAGAUGGGAUUGACCACUCCAGUUUAGGAGCUGUGUACAGUCGUGUUUCAAUUUAGCAAAACCUUGGUCAAGGUAGUCCUAGUG
rnacentral:lncRNA from 1 species